rnacentral:misc_RNA from 1 species
UGUGGGAGCGAGCCUGCUCGCGAAGGCGCCGGGCCAGUCGAUAUUGAGUUGGCUGGUAGACGGCUAUCGCGAGCAGGCUCGCUCCCACA